rnacentral:rRNA from 1 species
GAAUCCCACAGGCCGUAAACCCAAGGUUUCCAGGGGAAGGUUCGUCCGCCCUGGGUUAGUCGGGACCUAAGCUGAGGCCGAAAGGCGUAGGGGAUGGACAACAGGUUGAUAUUCCUGUACUACCGAUAACCGUUUGAGAGAAGGGAUGACACAGUAGGAUAAGCUAAGCACACUGUUGGUUAUGUGUGCCCAAGCAUUGAGGCAGUCAAAGUAGGCAAA